UCCCAAUCAUCCAUACAUGGUCAAUAAUAAGCAUAUUGCAUCAUAUAGUUAUAAUUCAUUAUCAUGAUGCAUGAUCACGACUACUUGCUACACAUGUGCCCUAAUUGUGUCUUAAUACGUGAUCGAAUAUUGUUCUUAAAAUGUGCUAAUACAUGAUACAUGUUAUUGAACUUCUACUUUAUGAUUUAACAUUAACUUAAAUGAUUUAUUGUAGUGAGAAGUUAAGUUUCUCGGUUAAGACGGGAUCAAUAUGCUAAACGGUGAUAUAUUUGUCUUAGAUGCAUUUCUGCAUCUUAAUUACAUUUUAAUAUGAUUAAUUACAUAUGUAAUUACUUCAAGUAACUCAUAUAAGGCUAAAAUCAAAAGUAUGCAAAAGGGUGCAAUUUGAUUGGUUGGUUGACUAGGUUGCACAAGACCAUUCUCAAAUUGGUUACACUUGAUUAUAAUGAGUAAGCAUCAGCCCAUAUCUUAUCUCAAGCUACAAAAACGUGGAGGAACCACAAGAAUGCAGCAAAUACAAGCCUUCCAAUCACAACCCUCCAUUUGGCCUUGUUGGGAAUGGGGAGAUAAGUGAAGACUUUGUGUUUUGGUCUUCAUUUUCACUUGUUUUCUUCCGAAAACGACCAGACCUAUUCCUUAAGCUACUCUUCUUAUUUCUUCACUCCCAUAUUCAGAUAAGAGAACAUCAAACCAUAAGAACUCAUAGAGGUAUAACUAGAACAAGUUUUGCACCUUUUCUAGCUGAAAAUCCUAUGUUUUGAAGUUUGAAUUCAUCUCUAAUCAAGGCUUCUAGCACACCUUAUCUAAGCUUGCUGAUCCUUUCACUUCAUAAACCAUAUUGAUUUUGAGGUAAUGAUGUACAUGUUUAGAAGUUGACCUAGCCAAGAGCGGCCAGUCAGAUAUUUGUUCAUAUGCCAUGCUUCGAGCCAUUUUUGUAGCCGAGCAGAAACUCUGAUUUCAUUUUGUUAGCCGCUCUAUUAUGGUUUUUAUACAAUGUAAUUUUGUAAACGAUGAAUAUAUAUAUGUACGGGUUUU